rnacentral:lncRNA from 1 species
AAAUUAUUUUAGGCAUGGGAUCAAAGAAGAAACUUCUUUGUAGCAGCAUCCCAGUACUAGGACUUUUUGUCUCUGCAUGGAAAUCUGAAUAUAUUUAUAUGUUGGAGUGACAUCUCUACAGGAAGCCUAGAGACCUAACUGUUUGCUACAUGUCACCAAAGUUAAAGUGGCUACCUUAAUGAGCAGCCAGGAUGCCAUCAUCUCCGACCUGAAUGACAAUAACCUCCAAACCAGCCUUUGUAUACUCCUUCCUGCUGCUCUGCAGUCCACUUCCACAGACCAGCCAACUGAAUCUCCUUAUAGAUUCAUAAUGGCCAUCAGCACAAAGAUGUUUUAUCUGCAGUCAACCAGUCAUGUUUCAUGAUGGCAUCAAAAUGUGCUGGAAAAGGUCAGAGAAAAUCAUCAUCAUAAAGUGAAGUGAUUUUCUUCUUUAUGAGCUCCUGAUGUAAACAGACUGAUGAGCACAACACAAUCCUUACUCACCCACAUGACAUCAUACACAAUCACAGCUAAAUGUUUCUAUCUGUCAAAGCCUGAAGAGUGACUACCAGAUUGUUGCCUGAUUGCUAAGAAUUGAUGCUUGUUCAACUGGGAUCUAUCCAGAGAAACAUAAUCCACUUCAAGAAUUUUCUGAAAAGGGAAUCUAAUGCAAGGAAUUAAUUGCAAAGAUGAUGCAAUAUCUGAGAACGAUAGAUUUGACAGUUUGGUCUACAUUUCAAGGCUGGUUAGAUGGGAGUAAUUGGGUCAGUCAUGCUCUUGAAGGAGGCAUACUGGGAGCCAUACAUUACCAGAGGCAGAGGAUUCAAUGGAUGUUUUCUGUUUUCUCUUCUUCGUGCUCUGUAAUUGAGACACAGAACAAAGGAGGAAGACUAAGUGCUCUGCCUUAACUCAGGCCAGGCUGUGGGCGCAAGUGCACCAACGGCUUUGAGACUAACACACAGCUCAGAACAAGGAGGUGAAAAUCUGACAGCUCAAAAUGAAGCAAAAACCCAAGAUUAAAACAGACACCAUUUUGUGCCCACUCAGUCUUCUUUCCAGGGUCAUACAUGUGUUUAUAACCGCACUUCUACAUUCUAUUAUGAGGGCAAGAGUUGUGGCUGCUAUAUAAAUGCUUCCUAGCAUAGUUCCUGACAACUAGGUGAUUCAUGAAUAUUUGCUGAAGAAAUAAAAAUAACUUUAUGAA